rnacentral:rRNA from 1 species
UGGGGAAUAUUGCACAAUGGGCGCAAGCCUGAUGCAGCCAUGCCGCGUGUGUGAAGGAGGCCUUCGGGUUGUAAAGCACUUUCAGCGAGGAGGAAGGUGGUGAGCUUAAUACGCUCAUCAAUUGACGUUACUCGCAGAAGAAGCACCGGCUAACUCCGUGCCAGCAGCCGCGGUAAUACGGAGGGUGCAAGCGUUAAUCGGAAUUACUGGGCGUAAAGCGCACGCAGGCGGUUUGUUAAGUCAGAUGUGAAAUCCCCGGGCUCAACCUGGGAACUGCAUUUGAAACUGGCAAGCUAGAGUCUCGUAGAGGGGGGUAGAAUUCCAGGUGUAGCGGUGAAAUGCGUAGAGAUCUGGAGGAAUACCGGUGGCGAAGGCGGCCCCCUGGACGAAGACUGACGCUCAGGUGCGAAAGCGUGGGGCAGCAAACAGGAUUAGAUACCCUGGUAGUCCAGCGCUGUAAACGAUGUCGAUUUGGAGGUUGUGCCCUUGAGGCGUGGCUUCCGGAGCUAACGCGUUAAAUCGACCGCCUGGGGAGUACGGCCGCAAGGUUAAAACUCAAAUGAAUUGAC